UCCCCACAGCCUGGCUCCUUGGAGGGAGAGGAGGAGGAGGAGUGCUUUGCAGCACAUGCCCAUGCUGGCCUUAUGUCCAGCCAUUUCAAGGACUAAGACAGUCUUACGUUAAAGUAAAAAACCGGUGAACAGCACUCCAGGGAAGACUAGGAACAGAAAACCCCAAAGGAUUUAGCCAAUCGAUCUGAGAACAAAGCAGACUGUGCAAUGGCCUUAGCUUCUUUCCACAUAAGAAGUUCAUUCAAGGAGGAAAAUGUCACUGGCCUGUCAUCCACUCACUGACUCUGGGGUGUGGUUGAACCAUUUGAAGGCCUGACUCUCCCUUUCAUAAUCUCAAGUCGGACAAAAGCUGCUGUUGUGAAUUUAGUCUCAGGUGUCGAUACCCUGUCCUCUGCCACCAGAGAGCUGUCUGGUGAGUGUGGUACAUGUGUGUCCCUGUGAUGGCAAUCAUGUUUGCUGCUGGCCUCCAGAAGAGUGGGGGAUCUGGUGGAGAUCUCUUGGGUAUUUAUUUCUGUUCGGCCUGUGGCCCCGACUUACAGUUUAUAAAGAUGUAAGAGAUGAACCCCCCAGUGGUACCCUCCGUCUUAAGGUGUGAUUUGGUACGGUCAGCUUCACUUUACUCUCGUUAACGCUGUUGUGAUGUUCGUUCACUGCGUGAAGUACCCAAGCUGCUUGUCUUUCACCAAAGAGUGCUUUAUUAACAAUCUGUGAAUACUGCAUUUAAACACUGUUGUAUGUUGUCGUGGUUACCAAAAACCUGCUAGAAAAUGUUGAUGAGAGCAUUGGAACCCUUUCUCAGUCAAAUGGUUCCUACAAAUCCUUCCUUGUGUCAUUUAGAAGAUUUCAGAGCUGAGAUGUUGUUGGGUUGCUCAGUCACAUGUUUUUUGUGGUUUUUUUUUUCAUUUUUUUUUUCUUUUUUUUUUUUUUUUUUUUUCGGAGCUGGGGAUCGAACCCAGGGCCUUGCGCUUGCUAGGCAAGCGCUCUACCACUGAGCCAAAUCCCCAACCCCGCUCAGUCACAUGUUAUAAUUGUGUUUACUCCAUUACAUUAAAACCAAACAUCAACCCUAGCAUUUUUUCUGGAAAAGCAUCGUAAAUAAUGUUGACUUUAAAAACAAAAUUGUGAGCCUUGAGGUAGUGGUGCUUGCCUUUAAUCCCAGCAUUGGGAGGCAGAGGCAGGUGCAUGUCUGAGUUCAAGGCCAGCCAAUGAUACAUAAGGAAGUCUCAGAGACAACAAAACAAAAACCAACCCCCACAUCCCAAAACUGUUAAGUCCUUGUAGAGUCUUUCUCUGUAAUGCUGCGGAAUUUCUUUCCUUGUGAUUCACAGUUUGAUUUUAGUGACAAUCACUUGCUUCUGGAGUUAGGCUGUUUAUGUAAGAGAACUCACUGUUGCCUUUGGUUAGGGAAUAUGACUAGAAACUGUAGCGUGCCUUUUCUCUUCAUCCUGCUGGAACCCAGCAGCACCCGUGCCAUGAAGCAAUUGCAAAACCAGAAUUUAUCUGUUGCCAAAAAACAACAACAAAAAGACCAAAAAAGGCAGAGACCAUAAUUAGAAAAUACUUUAUAGUUGUCUUGGUUACUUCCACAAUUGAGGCUAGUGGUUUUUGACUCUCCCAGUUUAGAAACUGGAGAAAUGCAAUAUUGAAAGCCAUUGACAGCCAUUGCCUUCCUCAGACAGAUGAAUGUGUCAGGUGAGCAGGCUAUCUCACUUGAAAAGCUGCCUUUCUUGUAGUUGGUAUCGACAGGUUUAAAGUUUAGUUAUUGUAAAAAUAUUUAAAGGCCAUGGGUUCCCCCUUUCAGUGUUUCUAUCCUCAAACUGCAUUGGCUGGCCUUGGGUCGGAGACCUGAGGAUUCAAUGUAAACCCACACAAAGAGCCCCUCCCUAGAUAGCACAUAGCUUUCAAACAGUGGAGAAAGACAGUUAAGGUAGGGUUUGUUAUUCCUGGAUAUGAAUGAGUUUAAGCUCUAGCUAGGAGGACAAACAUUUCAUUUACCAAUAAUGCUAAAUCAAACUGCCCAAGUCUAAAAUAAAAGCUUCUCAGGUGGUUCUUCCUUCCCUGAACAAGCUAGGCCAGGUACUGAGCAGACAGAAGGAGACUUCCUUCCAUCUGAACUAAUCUGGAUUUGUUCUCAUGGAUCAGGAUGAGUGAACAGGGCCUGCCCAUGAUGGCCUUGUAGCCAGCAAAUUUGGGAGGAAACCACCUGGGCUUCAGAGAUGGCCACAGUGCUUUUUAAAAGGCACGGUACCUUUUUGUGUUGGCAGGUCCAUUCAGCUAGAACUCCUGCCACUGUGGCUCUUCCCUGUAUUUAACUCCCUUGCUGAAGUUACUUAGGAAACAUGAGUUGGUAAGGACAUUCCCAGGAAAACUACUUAAUGUUGUCUGGGGAGGACGGCAUAGCAACUGACUGGUGACAUCCAGGACCCAGAAAGUCUUUGAUCAAACAAAUGAAAAGUCCUUCCUGUUGGGAAUUAGUGGACUACCUCUGCCCAAACUACAACUACCCAGAAACUUAAGGGUAGAAGAAGACCCUAUUGCUAUAGAGCAUGGAUCUAUAGAGUGGGUAUUGGAGGGGCCCCUUUAACUUAAGAACGUUAAAUACCUUUGUAAGUACAUCAAGUUAGAAAGUAUAUUUAUAGGUGACCUUGAUGCUUGUUGGGAGCCCACACCAUCCGGAGCCCAAGAGAGGAAUGUCUGCCAAGCUGGGCUUCAGGACUUUAGACAGAUUAAUACAGUUCUGAGGCCCAGCUACAACUCUUGCCUUGAGGCAAGAAGGAUGGAGCCUCAGCAGCCACAUUCAAGGUUGUAGUAUUUGUCUAAACUCUCAUGGCCACACGCUGUUCUUCCUCAUUAACUCCCCAGCUUUAACUCAACCCCCUAAACCUAGCCCUAUCCAUUGUCCUGCCCUGCCCCACUGCCCACCUCUCAGGGGUGGCUUCUACCUCUUGGCUUGGGCCCUGACAGGUCAUAGAGGCUCCCCAAGUGUUCUCAUGAGGCUCUGUGAGCAUAAUCAGGUCUGGUAGACCUUCCCAGCUUUCUGGGUAGUUUGUGCCUGGAAUUCCUCAGGCCUUCCCUUAGCUUGAAUAGCUGUCUGUGACAAGUGCGUAUGUGUUCUAGAAACAUCAGCUGCUUUUCCUCAUAUUUUUUUAAAAAUUCUUUCUUG
rnacentral:lncRNA from 1 species